rnacentral:lncRNA from 1 species
GAGUUUAUUCAUUUACCAAUGACUAACAUAAAAAAUAAGAAAAAACUAUCAAUUGAGUAUUUCAAAUCUCAAUUUGUAAUCAGAUUAGUGAUUUACCAGAAUUCGGACCGUCACAUGAGCCAAGCAGCUCGUGGGCAACUCGGUGUUCGACUUAUGCAAAGCUCGCUUGAAUUAACCUAAAGCCAAGGUAAUACUCGAUUCGAUAGGCUCGCUAGCCAAUCACAUUAAUUUGACGAGUACGAUUAUUUAUUUGCAGCACUGAUGUAAUUAAUGUAUAUUGUUAUUUCCAUGAUGCAGGAAGUGAGGCUCCAGCCUGACUUAAGUGAGGCUCCAGCCUGACUUGUGGCUUUACUCGAAAUCUGUCUGUUUGGUCCGUGAGUACAAAGUAACCAAAAUUCCUCGGUUCGGUUCUCACAGUAUAGAACCGCUGGUACGCUGCUGUAUUUAGGCGUUCAGUCGGAAAUAUAGGAAAUUUGUCGAAUAUCAUUAUGGGACCGGCAGCAGGAUUCAGUAAUGUUACCUUUGCAGUACAUCAAGGUUAAAUUCUAAGGCACCCUUGUUUCGAAUAGAUGACCAAUCCCUGCAUAUUAUUUUGCAUGAUCAAAAGCAAAAGAUUUUAGUUGUUAAUACACUGGGUACCUAUCUGUAACUGUACAUGAGUAGAAUAGUAUCAAUAUAGUGGAAAAUGGUUCACAAUUAAUGAACCCAGAACACAGAUUUCUGGCCGCCAAUUUCUUUAAUAAAGUUCUCAUCCUUUUUCGGUGAACUGGUCGAUCAAUCCGAU